rnacentral:tRNA from 1 species
GAGGGUGUAGCUCAGUGGUAGAGUGUGUGCUUAGCGUGCACAAGGUCCUGGGUUCAAUCCCUAGUACCUCCC